ensembl:lncRNA
CUUUUAAUAAAGUAAGGCACAAUGUUUGAUAAGGCAAAAUUCACAUAGAGGGUUAAUAUUAGAUCACAUUCUUUUGUGUGUCCUUGGGGAAAAGAGGAGGUAUAGAAUUGAAGAAGCUUAAAUAUUCUUUUUAGAGCAUUUACCAAUAUAAGGUAAUAUAUAAAUUUGACACAAUAAACUGUAUCUUAUCCUGAAAAUAAAAUGUAAUUGAAUCACAUUGCUGAAUUACAUUUAUUGUUACAAUUGUCUUAAAUAUCCAUAUACCUGUAGAUAUAGAUAUUUCUAAUUCACAAGAUUCCAAAUAUAGAAAAUUAAAAAAUCAGAUAAAAAGUAGUUUUGACUAAAGUAAAAAUACAUAUAUUUUUCAAUAUCCUUUGUUGAUACUUUAAAGUCCCAACUUUAUGAAAAGUUAAAAUACUGGUUAUUUAAAAUAUUUCUCCCAUUAUACUUUUGUUUCUGAUGAACACAAAGUGGGCUCAGAAAUGCAACAAACACCAACUGCAGGCACACAGGUCUCUCCAUGAUUGUUGUAAAGUGAUUGCUGAGGUUAAUAUUCCUUCUUAAUAACACUUCAAUGGCAACCACUUAAGUUAGUGAAAGGAUUCUUUUAAAACAUCAGUUGUAGACAGAAAAAUUAAGCAACUUGGUAAUUUUUUAUAGUACCAGCAAUAGUGUUGUCAUUCUUAUCCCAGUUUCUUCCCCUAACUGGAAUUUAGAAUAAAAUAGUUUUAUCCAAUUUAUUCAUAGCCAAAGGAAGAAAGCCACUUCUGGUGAAUGAAGAUAGUCUCUCCAACCAUGGCUUUCUAGUAUAAUGGUAAAUAACCUUCAUUAUACUAACAAAAUUUAAUAUUUAUCAGAUUAAAUACUGUUCCUUAUGAUAAACUGAGACUGACAAGUGCUAGGUAAAGGUCCAGUAGCACCCAAAUCCAUACUACCCUGUGAGUAUUCAAUAAUGUAUGUUUGUUGCUCAUGAACUGUUAUUUUCUAUGUCAGUUUUUAGCAAAUAUGAACCAAGUUGGAACGGAAAAAGAAUGGAGAUAUUUACAUGCAAAAAUAUUAAAAAAUACUCCCCCUUUAACCUGGUAUUACAAAGACAGUAUUUACAAAAUAUGAUAUGCCUCAUGGCAAUAAUAUCUUUACAUGUUAUUAAUAUGAAUUAGUUAGGAACUGCUGUCAUCCCUUAGUGGCAGCAAAUACAUUUUCUUUGUAAAAUAAUAUGAACUAGAAUAUACUUUUUCAUUGAUUUUAUUUCAGGGCCCUAACCCUUAUGACUUUAACUUUCUAGACAGUCAGUACACACAACUUAUUAAAUGAAAAACACUGGGUCUAGAGAGGAAGAUUUAAGGCACAUACUUUCUAAGCACAACUGAAGGCACUGAUACCUUUAAAAAGAUCAUGACUAUAAUAAAAAUACAAUAUUAGAUCCCAGUAAAUUCAUCUGAUUAAUGCUAUACAGUAUCGUGCUUAAUACGGGAACAGUGAAGGUUAAAUACGUCUUUUCUACACAGAGGGAAUCAGAACUAUGGAUUAUAGAUUAUGUUUUCUAAAACCUACACAGCAGCUUUUUUACUAUUGUUAAAUGCUCAGCACAAAUUCAAAGCUGACUAUUUUGGACUAAAUGAGGAGUGAUAUUUACACUGAUGUAAUAAAAUCUCUACUUGGGAUGAGAAGGGAGUCAUUUAGGUAAAAAUUAGGUUUUUCUAAAUAAGUGCAGCUUAACUAAUUUUAUAUACAUGUACUGUAACUGAUAAGUUCUGAUUACAAAGGGUCUUAUUUAGAACAACUUUUUAUAUAAACAGCUACUGCUAAAAGGCUUUACAAGAUCAAACUUUAUUUGCACUAAUUAUUUGCUUAAUAUUUUUUCUUUUUUACAUAGUGAAAAGGUAAACAUUAACCAAGGGUGUACCACAAAUUCCAGGUUAAUGAGGUAUUACUUUCUCCCUUUGGAAAGAGCAAUGUUGGCUCUAAGAAAAUCCUAUUAUUUGUUGGCCCUUAAUUAUGAAGGGAUGUGGAUAAUCUCCCAAUAGAAGAAACUGAAUAAAUUUAGUGAUAAAAGCUUUCAGAUGGUAGACAGUGGGCCACUUAGUUUCAAUACAAUUCAGUAUUACAUUAAAAAACUUUUUUGGCUCAGGGAUUCCCCCUGGGUGUCUGGUGACUUCUCUUUCCUUGCCCUUUGCUGUUUUUAAAGAUUUCUUACAUUUACUACUCUAGCAAUCAGCUUUUUCCUUGACUUCUUUUGUCUAAAAUUGGUAUUACAGUGUUUGGUAGAACUAGUGAGCAGUAUUAUACUGCACUAGUGUGGACUGCUUUUAACUUUGAAUUAACAGAAAAAUUUCUCAAAUCUGAGGUACAAUUUAUAAUGCAAAUCUUUACUUUUCAAAUUUGUUAACUGAAGUUCCAAAUAUCAAGAAUUUUAGAGCAAGAGACUCUUUCAGCAUACAUUUAGAAGUAAAACCUGAAGAGGAAUCCUCAGAUCUAGUUCACUACACAAAUACAGGGCAUACUGAGAACCUGGAUGCUGCUCCUUAGGUCAGCCAAUCCCUGGCACCACCGAAGCAAAAUACUCAUUAGCUUAUCUUUCCAUUUCCUAAAAUCCUAGCGCUAUUUCACCGACAAUUUGGUAACACUGAGAGAAUUAGAUUCUAGGAAUAAAGAUUACCAAAAAUGUUCCAUGUACCCAUUUCAAGUACAAAUAUCAGCACUGAGGAAUUCCAUUCUAAACACAUUAAUGCUUUGGUAAAGUAGUUUUAUCCAGAGAAGUUUUCGUUACUAAAAUUGUCCAAGUGGAGCAGUAUCAAAAACUUACACACAAACAAAUAACUUAGCAACUAGACAGACUAUCAUUUUAAAUACAUAGUCAGCUAUAUGACUCUGGAACUGAUUAUCUAGUUUCUAGAUUAUCAAGUCCUUUGAGCUCAAUUUCUGGUUAAUUUCUAUAGUCAUCAGUAAUCGAAACAGAGAAGGUAGAGAAAAGAAACAAGGAAAAGGCUUACUAGAAAUUAUUAGCAGCUCUUGUAAAAGGUGAGGUCAGAGGUUAAAAAAAAAAAAAAGAUAAUAACUAAAAUGUGGAUUUCAGUACAAGUCACCAAAGAGUUACACACUAAUCAGAGAUUUUCAGAUGUACAUAUAGAGAAGCAUAACAAACAUUUAGCUGAAGACAUUUUGCUGUAUACUGUGGGGUAAAUCCACAUUACACAUUAAAGACCAGAAUCUGUUUCUAGGUUGCACCUAUUUACAUCUGGAAAAGGUCAAUCAGUAUACUUUCUCGGAAGCUGGCAAGGUUAAGUACUGUAUUUACAUACCUACUUGUUUAAUUCACAAAGAUUAAUUCUUAGAUUACCUAAGCGGUUACUUAGGUCAAACUGGUAAUGAAUUAGGAAGUAAAUUGAGGCAUGUAAGCCAGAAAAAUUUGGUCCUAUUAAUUUGCAUAUUUUACUAUGAAUACUUUAUUUUGUAUGAAAAUAUUUCACGUGUCUUAACUAAGUUACUCACAAGACAUUUUGGGUUUGCCACUUAGGCACUGCCUAAGUCACCUUUCAUAAUUUUGCAGAAUGCAGCUUGCCAUGGCUCAAAUGGAGAAGUAAAUAAAGACCUUCUAUUUCUUCCAUUUUAUGACAUAAUCACCCACAUACUUCUUUGCUAGGCAGUAGAAAGAUACUAGAUUACUUCUAUAGUCAUAGUCAGAAAAUUUCUUUAAGUCAAAAGGAAAAAAGAAUCCUACUACAUUAUAACAAGGUGAAGGGAUUCACUUUAUAGCAGCGUUUCACAACUGCAGUCAUGAAACUCUCAGGAUGUUUCAUGAAUUAAUAACAUAUAACAAACAAACUAUCCUACAAUAUAUUUUCUACUAAAAUAAAAUAUAUAUAUACAUAUGACAAAAACCUAACCUAUGUACAUAUCAUUAUUAUAUAACAAUCUGCUUUUAAGAAAUGGGCCCCAGACAUGAAUGCCAGAAGUUAGAAAGGAGAUCAUCUGAUGUUCCAAUGUGUGUGUGUGUCUUCUUUUUAGGGCCGCACCUAUGGAAGAUGGAAGUUCCAGGCCAGGAGAUGGAGCUGCAGCUGUCUGCCUACACCACAGCCACAGCAAUGCUGGAUCUGAGCCACAUUUGCAAUGUACACCACAGCUUGUGACAACCCUGGAUCCUUAACUCACUGAGCUAGGCCAGGAAUUGAACCCACAUCCUCAUGGAUCCUAGUCGGGUUCUUAACCUGCUGAGCCACCACAGGAACUCCCCAAUGUGUUUUUGACGUGGGUAAUAUUUACCAACAAACCAUUAUGUUAUUGCAUAUUAAUCAUCUAAUGAUUGCUAAUGUGUGCUAUGUAUUUUAUUUUAUAAUAUCACUUAUAGUUGUACUAUUACUCGACUUUUAUUGUAUACUAAAUUAGUUAAUAAAAAUUUGGUCAUUUCUACCAGCAACUUGUGAAACCAUUUUCCUCCUAUACUUUAAGGGUAAAUUUAAUACAUUUUAAAUAUUUUAUCAAUAUAUUAUUUUCAAAAAGCACUCCAUGGUUAAACUUGUUUUGGAAACUGUUUUACUGUGUAAAAACACUACUGUUACACCCAGUUUAAUUUUGCUUGCUGUAAUCUUUCUCUAGUUUUUCUUUAAGAUGUAGAGGAAGUUAUAGUUCAGUACAUACAAGCAAAGGAGUUAUACUCAACACUAACACUAAAAGUUUAAAACCAUUUUCCCAUUCCUUUAAUGCAAAUUAUAAGGUAGCUUUCCUAUCUUAUAUCUCUUUUCUGUUAAAAGAAAUCUGACAGAUUUUUCCAUCAAAAACUAUUAUUCUGUCUUAUGAUGAACAGGGUGAUCAAGACUGUGGCCUCCCCAUUAAGUAUACAAGUGAUUUGUUUAUAGAAAAUUAAACAAAAAGUGAAGUUAAGGUGGCCAUAAGCUCAGACGUCAGGUAUACAACUGUUUACCUAGUUCUGCUAAAGCAUAUUUCAAAGUAUUCUGCAUAGUAUGUCAGGUUAUAGGCUGCUCUGGUAUCAUUUCUUGAAUAAAUUUCUAAAUCCUUG